UACGAAGGGUGCAAGCGUUACUCGGAAUCACUGGGCGUAAAGCGUGCGUAGGCGGUUCGUUAAGUCUGCUGUGAAAGCCCCUGGGCUCAACCUGGGAACUGCAGUGGAUACUGGCGGACUAGAGUGUGAUAGAGGAUGGUGGAAUUCCCGGUGUAGCGGUGAAAUGCGUAGAGAUCGGGAGGAACACCAGUGGCGAAGGCGGCCAUCUGGAUCAACACUGACGCUGAGGCACGAAAGCGUGGGGAGCAAACAGGG
rnacentral:rRNA from 1 species